CCAGCCUCAAACACCUCAGCUUUGUGAAAGAUGGCAGGUUAGAGUCACAGUGCAAAAGGCCACUGGAUCAAAUACCAAAGCACUGUGACUAACAGGUGACUUUAUGAUGAAUCACAAUGUUUGUAGUUCAGGAGGAUGUCACAGUCAAAUCUCAUGCUUAGUGGAUUCAUCACCAUGUGUGGGGGCAGAAACUACUUCCACUCUUACCUUCCAUACUGCAUAACUGCCAGAUAGACAACUUCUGCCUCACACUUAAGGCCCCAAAGGAACAAGAAUAAAAGCAAUACUUAGAUUAUCAGGAACUACAAUGCCAAUGAAGGAAUGACAACCAUCAUUGUUGUCAACAACAUGUCAACAACAUCAACAAAUAGAAAGCAUUCCUCCAUUCAUCACUCCUUCUGGGAAGAAGUAGACUAAGAGGUAAGAAGCAACUAAUUUUUCAUGGGAUUUGAAACUAAGUAGGUGAAUCUGAAGUCUGCGCUGCUUCCAUUCCAUCCCAUUGUCUCUUCUGAGGGAGAAAGCUUCUAAGGGAGAAAGCCUUUGGGGCUUGGAACAAAAGAAGCCAGAGUCUUUAGAGUACACACUCCGUACUUCCAUUAAAUAAAUUUCAACAACAGGUCAAAGCAUGUAUCUUGCAACCUUCUUUGAAUAAGGCUCAGUGCAAAGCUGGGGCCAGUGACCUUGACCUUCCUUCAUCCCUAUCUAUCAAGGAUUUUUUGUGAGCAUAAGAGGCAGCAACUUUACUUGUAUUUCAUUUCAUAGCUUAAUUAUAUCUACAUGCAAUUAGAAAACAUAUGGUAAGGCAUAUUUGUGAAGGUCACAAAAUCUAGUAGAGCUGGAAUGCCAGGAUUUGAUUCCAACUUCUGCCACUUACUAACUGCGGAACCUUAGGCAAGUCACUGAACCCCUAAGUUUCCUCAGCUGUAAAACAAUAAUAAACAGAGUCUACAGGUCACAGAUUUCUAUGAGAAUUAAAUUAGUUAACAAAAUAAAGCACUAAGAACUGUGCCUGGUACAUAAAAUAUACUGCAUGAGGGUUAGCUAUCACCACAAUAAGUAGGCAAGUUACCAACACCUUAAACGCUGAGUUAGAACAAAUCUAAAAACUCUAUGCUGGCCAGGCGCGAUGGCUCACACCUGUAAUCCCAGCACUUUGGGAGGCCAAGGUGGGCAGAUCACCUGAGGUCAGGAGUUCUAGACCAGCCUGGCCAACAUGGUGCAACCCCAUCUCUACUAAAAAUACAAAAAUUAGCAGGGUGUGGUGGUGGGCGCCCGUAAUCCCAGUUACUCAGGAGGCAGAGGCAGGAGAAUCGCUUGAGCCCACAAGGCAGAGGUUGCAGUGAGCUGAGAUCACACUACGGCACUCCAGCCUAGGCAACAGACAGAGCAAAACUCCAUCUCAAAAAUAAAUUAACAAACAAACAAAAACUGUAUAUUUAAGACCUACCUUUACUUAUUGAAGGAGGCCACUUCAAAAUGGUAAUGCUCCUUUCCUGUCUAGGUUCCCCAUACUUAGGGUACCCCAGACCCACCAAACCACACAGUGCCAGGCCUCUUUGUCUCCUAUAAUCUAUUCCUCCUUAAAAACCCAGCUAGAGAUUUUCUCUUCUACCCUACCAAGUAAAGAAUGUGCCCGCUUUCCUUUGCAUGCCUAUCUCUUAGAAUAUUAAUCCCAUAAAUUAUAAUUUCCCCAAAGAGACACUGAUCUUCAAGGGUAUGACUGUGUUUUUCUUAUUACUUAAUACCUAGAACUGUAUUUUGCACAUAUUAGAAACUUGACAAAAUUAAGAAACCCAAAGGACAUUCAAAUUCUUUCUCCCAAUUUAAAAAUUAUGGGUACAGGGACAAGAGUGGAGUUGGAAAACGUCAGUCACCCUAAUAAACAAGGCACAUUUAAUAAACAGGAUACGCAUCUCUAUUUUCUUCCCCAUCCCCAGAUAAUUGUUUUUGAGUGAUGAACCAAAAAAAAAAAAACCUAAUAAAUGCACAAGUUUAUAAUUUGAGAAACUAGCGUGACAAAAAUGAGGUCAUCCCAUGGAUGUCAUAAAAUAAGCAUGACUUUCUUCUCUCAAUUCUUUUACUUAUUGCCCAUAUAAUUAAAUACAGUUGUAAUUUAAUUCUGUUGGCUGUUAUUUCAUGCUCACAACAAAACAUUUCUCUCUCUCUCUUCCUUAAGUUUGUGUAGAUGAUUUUAUUCCCAUGAGCAUCAAAGAGCAGGGUUUAACAAUGAAAUGUUGAAAACAAUCAAAACUUACAAAGAAGUUUAUCUGACACACUCAAUGACAGGCAUAAUUAUCAUUGUGUUGCAUGGUAAUUAGGUAUAAAAGGCAAACAGUUCCUUUAAAUGUCUCUAAUUAGUACUGCUCUUAAAUCUUCAAACCAAGUAGUUGAGGAGUCAGCGGCAGGGAAACCUGCUCCUAUAACACAAUGCUCCUCAAUGGUGGCUUCAUAUGAGAAUCAGCAGGGGAGCUUUUAAUAUACAUAUAUAUAUAUACGCACCUAUAAUCCAUAUGCCCAGGGCUCUUGCCUCAAAUCAAUUUAGUUAGAAUACCUGGGGGUUAGACCCAGGCAUCAGUACUUCUUAUUACAGGUGAUUACAAUGUAAACUUAAGAUUAAGGAUUACAGCUGUAAACAACAACAUGGAAGAGAGUUGAAGUUGUCCCUUCCCUCUAUAUUUCCACAGCACUAGGAACAUGCUCUACUGAAGGCUCAUCAAUUAAUCAAUCAAUUAGGUAAUUAACAAGUAUUGAUUAACAAUGAUCAAUUAAUGUUUGUUACAAGAAUUUGACAUAGCUUGUUCUCUUCUGCAAUAUAAUACACAAGUGAGAAAAUCCCUACUCUCCUCUCCCUCCUCCCAGCAUUCUGUCUGGAACCUGAAACGUGGCCUGGCACCUAGAAACAUGCUGUCAAGUUAGCCUCAGUGUGUGAACUUUUUUUUAAUUUUAAUAAAAUAUACAUAACAUAAAAUGUAUCAUUUUAACCAUUUAUAAGUGAACAGUUUAGUAGCAAUAAGUAUAUUCUCAUUGUUUUACAACCAUCACCACCAUCUAUCUCCAGAAUCUUCCCAAACUGGAACUCUGUACCUAUUAUAUAUUCCCUGGGUCUCCUCACCCCUCCUGCUCCUGGCAAUCUCCAUUCUAAUUUCUGUCUCGAUGAAUUUGACGAUUCGAGGUACCUCAUAUAAAUGGAAUCCUGCAUUUGUCUUUUUAAGUCUGGCUAAUGUCUGCAAGCUUCAUUCCUGCUGUAGUAUGUGUCAGAGUUCCUCUGUAAGGCUGAAUAAUAUCCCAUUGCAUGUAUAUACUACAUUUUGUUUCUCCAUUCAUCUGUUGACGGACACGGGGUUGUUUCUGCUUUUUGGCUACUAUGAAUAACACUGCUAUAAGCAUGGAUGUACAAGAUUUUUUAUGCAUGGCUUUACCUACCCGGCAUAGCCAAUAUUCCUAAACAGGAAUCUCACACCAGAGAAGCAAAAGGCUUGGUGAAUGAGGAGUGAGGACCUGUGACUUGCUCCUCAUCAACAAAACACAGCAAUGAUGACGGAAGGCCAUUCCUGGGUAGGUUAUAUAAGACUUCAUCUUAGUUAACUGUAAAGGGCUUAUCCAGCUGAGUCUGAAGAAGUAAGCUGCCAUGCUAUGAGAGGGCCUGUGAGAGGGACGCAAGGCAGGAACUCUAGGCAGCCUCUAGGAGCUGAGAGCAGCCCCAGCUGACAGCUAGCAAGAAAAUGGGGACCUCAGCCCUACAACCACAAGGAAUUGAAUUUGGCCAACAAUCACGUAAGCUGGGAAGAGGACCUCUUCCUGUAGAAAGCUCUAGAAAUGAACACGGCCAGUUGACCCUUUGACUGCAGCCUUGUGGCUGACGUCAGAGAAGAUGACUUAAAUAAGUCACACCUGGACUCUUGG
rnacentral:lncRNA from 1 species